GGUUGUGGCUCAGCAGUAGAGUGCUCGUCUCGCACAGGCAAGACCCUGGGUUCAAUUCUCAGCACCA
rnacentral:tRNA from 1 species